UCAAGCACUUGACAAUUGCUCAAAGGGAAAUGAGGAAUUGUUUUGUAUAAAUGAGUCAACUUACCUUGAAUUCAUACCACUUGGGGUGGACCAUGCCGCAAUCAUCAGACAAGUUUGCAUGGCUUUAUUUGAUCAUUAUCAUAAAACAUGACAUGUAUUGCACGUCUCUCAGCUUAUGUUUCGUGUCAGGUUUUAGCAUGAAAAUAAUUUGGACAUGAUAUAUUCUAGGCCAUUUCAGCAAGACUGGAGGCAACAUGUUCAGAGUAUGUGUUCACAUUCCAAUUAUCUGCAGCAAGGAAGGAGAGAAAUAAUGGGAGUUAUCCAAUGUGACAUUGCUCCUUGGAAAACAUGUAUUCCAUAUGAGGCUCUUAAGUUUCCAUUGUACAACAUGAACUUGGAAACUAAACCCCACAUUAACACACCCAAGUCUAGUGAUGGAACUGAAACCUGCAACUCUCAACCUGUGUUUCCUUCUGGCAUGCUUGGUGUGAACUGGAUUGAUGAGUUUAUCCCAUGCAAACCAUGCAAGAGGAGGAAAAGCUUUCUUCCAACUUCCAAGACCCAAGAAUUUGGAGCAGGAUAUAAGACAGAGAAGCAAGCUGUAGCCAUUGUGCCAAAGUCCUCUGGGAAGAUGAGGAGCAACCAGGAUAUUCAUGGAAGGACAUUCAUGGAAGCCACCAUGGAAGCCAAAGUCCUCUGGGAAGAUGAGGAGCAACCAGGAUAUUCAUGGAAGGAUGUUCAUGGAAGCCACCAAGGAGACAUGUAAGCCAUGAGGGAUGGGCGAGUUCAGCAGAAUAGCCAUCUAGUUAAGGAUUGGGUGUUUAACAAACAUGGACUCAAAUGCCAAGUCCACUGCUUCAAUGUUGUUAGACUUGGGUAAAAUUAUACAGUGUUCUUGUCUAUAAAAACAAAGAAAUGAACAACUAGAGUUUCUGUGAGGACUGAGAGUUGAUGUGCAGUGUGGGUAGAAUAGUUUUGACAUAUGCUCAGCUCUGUCCUUCCUAGAAUAACCUCGAUUUUUCAUCCAUUAAAAGCCCUACUCUUCUCCCUGGGGAGCCCCCAAGAAGUUGCUAUUACUCCCCAUUCUAGUGCUUUCUGGACAUGUCUCUUAUUCCUUCUGGAUUAACCAAUUGACGGGGAGAGGAGUCAUGGCAAGCUUGUCUAUUUCAAACAAAGGACCAAUAACAUUUUUUCCUAAUCCUUUUCCUCAUAAUUAAAAUUAAAAUUUCUUUAGGAAUUCUUAUAACUGAUCAGAAAUCACAAGGAUUUUUAGAAUCAUUGGCAUAAAUCUUAUGGCUAGACACUAUAAACAUGAAGCCUAAGGAAUCGAUGAUACAGAUCAUGAGAUCUAAUCCACAAAUUAUAGCAUUCAGUAGUUAGUUCUGGUUGAGUAAUUUAAUGUGAGUCAAGUCAUACAUAACUUUAACUGACGACAACAGUAAGUUCUAAAAUCAGUCAGUGCCUUACAGUCCAGCACAUGCAUUUUAUUCUAAGCCAGUGCUUUAUUUCACUUUUCAAUGUAAUUUAAGUCAUUUAGAAAUCUCAACUUGCUUCAGCCAUAGAUGCCAUAGGAUUUUAGUCUGAUUUAAGAGAAUAUGCCAGAGUGCACUCAAAGAUAAGUCAGAUGAUUAUUAAAAUCUUCAUAAUAAGUUGCACAACUACUUAAACCAACUCUUUUCCCCUUAUAUACAUCAAAGACCAUAAAAGGAACAAACUAUAAAUAUGACACAGUUAAAUCAGAAACACAGUAUAUUGAACACAACACAGUAAAUAUCCCAUGAUUUUAUAGAUAUGGAAAUUCGAGAUAAAGCAAAACUAAUUACAGAAAUGGAAAGCACUACUUUUCUGGGCACUGUGACAUGAUCAAAAGGGAGCUAAUAGGACAUCCUGGGAUAGAGGAAAUGACCCAUACCUCAAUACGAGUGUAUUUGUCAAGAGUCAUCAUUUUAAAAAUAAACACUGUAAAACCUCACUAUCAAUCAGGUUCCUCUGACCGAUUCUCUAUGUUGUGAGGUAGUGUUAAGGACAUGCACAAUGUUUGGCUGGAGGAGGCCAUGAGGAAUGAAGAGAUAAAUAUUUUAAGCAAAAAUGACAACAAAACAAAAGAAGUUUCUCUUGAGGCUGGAAUUCUCCCUUCUCUUUUUGUUAGAUUAAAGAAGAUGGAAGAAAAAGCAGUGAGAGUAGAUGAAGUCCUUCCUUGUCAAGUUCAUUUACAUGGUCUUUCCUAAUCCAUGUACAGAGAGCUUUUGUGAAUGCUUUAAGGAAAAAAACUUACAGAGGCCCCAUAAAUUCAAGAGCUAGGAACAAAUCACAGAGCAUUCUGGGGCUCGGUAAACAUGAGUAGUUAUGUUGGACAGUAAUUGGGAACAGCAGAAAAUUAGAAAGUUAAAUUGUAACUUCUCUUUGACAGGUGAUUCUUUCAUUUCAUUUUAAAAAGAAUAAAACUAAACAAAAUAAAGUAGAAUAAAGGCAAUCAAAACAAAACAGUGAAAGUGAUACAGGAUAAUAGGAAAUCAGCCAUGGCUACCAUAAUGCCUCUUAUGAUCUUCAAAAUUAGCUGCCCACAUCUAGGCAUAGUACAAUCCAACAAAAUAGAACAGAAUAAAAUCAAUCAAAAUGAAACAAGAAAAACGGGACUUCAAAACAACAUAACAGGAAAUCAACAAUGGCUACCAUAAUAAAUCUUGUUAUCUUUGAAAUAGAUGCCCAAACCAUCCAUUAUAAUAAAAUCAAACAAAAUAAAACCAAACCAAGCAAUGAAAAUGAUCCAGAACUUCUAAACAAGUUAAUAGAUAAUUAACAAUAGCUACCACCUUUAGAAGGAAAUCCCCCAUACUUGCUAUAUUGUAUUUGUUAUCCUCCAAAUAGAUGUUUAGACCACCAGCCUUAGGCCUGCAAAGUCAAUCAAAUACUAAACACUACAAGCAUUAAGGUUUUUUUCCCUACCUCAGUAGCUAAUCAUCCCAGCCUGUGUUCCUCUGGAUCAGCCAGUUAUUUACAGUAUGUGGUGAGUGGGAGACCUCUUCUUGUCUCCCAGCCUGUGCACGGGUCAGCUCACAGGAAGGGGUUGGCUUCACCUUUCGCUACUCCACAUUCCAUGAUGGAUGAUUCUUAAAAAUUUUUCUGCCCAUGAAUUAUCUAGCUAAAUAAAUAAUUCUAAACCUUUUCCAACUUUAUAUUUGUUGUUUUAACAAAGUUUUGUUUUGAUUUCAAAAUAUCAUAUCUCACUCAUGGGAAAAUCAUCUAGACUUGUGCCUAGAAAGAGGCUCAUCUGUUUGGCCAGGAGUUUUUUGGCCUUCUGAACCACCUUGAGUGGCUAAACAACCUGAAUAUCUCAGGGAGAUGGGCUUCAGAAAGACAACCUGGCAAGUCUUAGCCAGAAAAUGGAGUCAUCAAACAUACCCUCAGGUCUGUGUUCUAAGAUCCCACUGUGGAAUUCGGGGAACUGCACUGCCCCAGAGGAGAGAACUGCACUGCUGCCCAUGUGAAGAGGUGAGUUCCUGCACACCAUCCCCAGCCCCGGGAGAGUUUAAGCUCAUGGCUUCCGAUGGUGAAGGACCCGCCCAGCCUGCAGCCACACUAGACUGGGCUCUGAAGGUUUCCAGCCUGCCUGGGCCACACCCACAGACCUUCUUUCAAUCCAGGAACCUGGGCUCCCAGAGGGGGAGAGUUCCUGCACACCAUCCCAAGUCCCAGGAAAGUUUAAGAUCAUCGCUCCCAGUGGUUAAGGACCCACCCAGCUUCCAGCCACACUACACUAGGAUUGGGAGGGUUUACAGCCCAACUAGAUUAUACCCAGCCACCUUCUUCAAUCAGGGGAGUUGAGGGCACAUGAAGUGAGUUCCAGCGCAUUGGUCCUAGCCCAGGGAGAGCUUUGGACCUUCAUCCACAGAGGUUAGAUGCCCACCCAGCUUCCUGGAACACUGGAGGUGGCACAGGAGGUCCUAUGGGCCUGACUGGACCAUGCUCAGCAACCUCUAUUCAGUCCCAGGAGCCCAGGACAUGGGAGAAAAUUUCCAACAUGCCCAGGGGAAGUCUUGUGACAUCUCUUGAAACAUGGAAAUAUAGAAAAUGACAAAAUGAAAGACCAAAAUGCAAUCUCAAACGUCUAGCCCAUCCCAAGAAAGCCUAGGAGCCAUGUACAUAGAAGAAAAUACAUGCCAUACACCUGAAGUAAUAGCAGCUGAAAUAAAGAAGCAACUCUGGGACGAUUUAAAGGAAUUCAAACUAGAAAUAAUCUCCCAGGUAAAAGAAGAAAUGAUAAAAGUAAUAAAAGAGAUGCUGAACACAUCUAAAGAAGACACAAUUUUAAAAACUAGAGGAACAAGACAAAAAUAAAGAAUCCCUGUAUUAACAACAUAAAAAACAAACAGAAUACAUGAAGCAGUUUCAAAGAGAUACACAGGAAACAAAAAAUUCCAUUGAAAGUUGUCAAAACCACCUCAAUGAAAGUGAAUAGAAUUUCAGACCACAAAGACAAGAUUGCAGCCAGUGAACAGGAAGGAAAGAUCUUUUAAAAAUAACAAGAAAUCAGGAAAUGACAAUUCAAUAGCUGCAAGAUGAUUCAAAGAAAAACAACAUAAGAUUGAUAGGGAUAAAUGAAAAAGAAGGGGUCAAAACAAAAUGAUAUCAAGAGGCUAUUUACAAAAGUAAUAGUUGAAAAUUUCCCAAAUAUGAGAAUGGAAACUGACAUUAGGAUUAGUGAAGCAUGUAGAACUCCAAACAGCCAUAACAAAUUAAAACUACACCAAGAAAGAUAAUAAUCACCAUCCCAGAAAUCCAACAUAAGAAUAGAAUAUUAAAAGCUGCCAGAGAGAAAAGACAGAUCACCUAUAAAGGAAAACCUAUCAGAAUUACAGCAGACUUCUCAGCACAAACAAUGAAGUCAAGAAGAGCAUGGAGUGAAAUAUUUCAGAUCCUAAAGAAAAUGAUUUCCAGCUGAGACUGAUGUACCCUGCAAACUGUCCUUCAAACUAGAUGGAGAAAUAAGAUAGUUCCAUGACAAAGAACAGCUGAAGAACUUCAUGAUCACCAAGCCAACCCUGCAAAGUAUACUGAAAGACAGUUUACAUACACUUAGGAAAAAACCACUAAACAAUGAAGACAAUUAAACAGAAUGGAAAGAUAAAGAUGCAACAGCAAAAAGAUAACAUGUCAACAAUAAACUAAUACAUAACAGUUAUAACCAUUAAUGUAAAUAGUCUCAAUUCAACAAUUAAAAGAAACAAUUGGCAAAAUGGAUCAUGAAACAAUAUCAGACCAUAUGCUGUCUACAAGAAACCUAUCUAACCCAAAAGAAAACUCACAGAAUGAAAGUCAAAGGAUGGAAAACAAUACUUCAUGCAACAGGAACCCCAAAAAAAGCAAGGGUAGCUAUUCUGUUUGCAGAUAAUGUGAACUUAAAACCAAGAAUGAUCCUAAGAGACAAAAAAGGUCACUACAUACUAAUUAGAGGAAAACUUCAAGAGGAAGAGAUUACAGUCUUAAAUAUAUAGGCACCAAAUUCCAGAGCACUCAGUUAUACAAAGCAAGUAUUCAUAGAAAUUAAAAAUCAAAUAAGCAAUAACACGAUUAUAAAAGGAGACCUUAACACACCAUGACACCAAGAGACGGGCAAAAAUUCAACAAAAAAUAACAAAACUGAAUCACACCUGUGAGCAAAUGGGCUUGACAGACAUAUACGAAGUGUUUCAUCCAACAAUAUCAGAAUAUACAUUCUUCUCAGCAGUACAUGGGACAUUCUCUAAAAUAGACCAUAUACUAGCACACAGAAUAUAUUUAAAUAAAUGCAAAAGAAUUGAAAUUAUCCCAUGCAUGUUAUCAGAUCAUAGCGCCAUAAAACUAGAAAUUAAUGAUAAAAGAAACUGCAAAAACCCCAGAAACACAUGGAAAUUGAAUAAUAUACUCAUGAAGAAUCAAUGGGUCACAGGGGAAAUUAAAGAAGAAAUUAAACAAUACCUACAAGCAAACAAAAAUACAGAUACAAAUUACUGGAAUCUGUGGGAUGCAAUGAAAGCAGUCCUCAGAGGAAAAUAUACUGCACUGAGUUCCCACAUCAGGAAAACAGAACAAAUACAAGUAAACAACCUGAUGCUACACCUCAAACAUCUAGAAAAAGAAGAGCAAGUCAAGCCCAAAGCCAAAAGAAGGGAAAAAUUAUAAAUUCAGAGCACCAAUUAAUGUAAUGGAGACUAAGAAAAUCCAAAGAAUCAAUGAAUCAAAGAGUUGGUUCUUUGAAAGAAUAAAUAAAAUCGAUAAGCCCCUAGCCAACCUUAUUUAAAAAAGGAAAGAAAAAGCUCAAAUUCAUGCAAUAAGAAAUGAAAAAGGCAAAAUCACUACAGACUCUGUGGAAAUACAGAAGAUCAUCAACACCUAUUUCAAAAACCUCUACUCUCAUAGGUUCAAUAGCACAGAAGAAAUGGACAGAUUCCUAGAAACAUAUGAAGUACCAAAGCUGGGUCAAGAAGAUGUAAAACUGCUGAAUAACCCAUUUUCUAUUAAUGAAAUUGAAAACCUAAUUAAGUCCUUACCUACAAAGAAGAGCUCAAGCCCAGACGGAUUCACUGCAAAAUUCUACAAGAAAUACAAAGAAGACUCAAUGUCAACACUCUUCAAACUCUUUAAUGAAAUCGAAAGGGAAGUAAUUCUUCCUAAGUCAUUCCUGGAAGCAAAUAUUACUCUAGUACCAAAACCUGAGAAAGACCUAACUAAAAAAGAGAACUGCAGGCCAAUCGCCCUAAUGAACACAGAUGCAAAAAUCCUCAAUAAAAUAUUAGCAAAUAGGAUGCAGCAAAUCAUCAAGAGAUUAUAUACCAUGACCAAGUGGGAUUCAUCCCAGGCAUGCAGGGAUGGUUCAACAUACAUAAAUCAAUAAAUGUAAUCCACCAUAUCAAUAAAGCCAAAAGUAAGAAUCAUAUGAUCAUUUCUAUAGAUGUAGAAAAAGCUUUUGAUAAGAUCCAACAUUCAUUCAUGAUAAGAACCUUAUAGAACUGGAAUAGAUGAUCUUUACCUCAAUAUGAUAAAGGCUAUCUAUGACAAACCAACAGCCAGCAUCAUAUUAAAUAGCCAAAACUUGAUGUCUUUACCUUAAAAUCAGGCACAAGACAAGGAUGUCCCUUAUUACCACUCCUAUUCAACAUAGUACUGGAAAUACUAGCCAGAGCAAUUAGACAAGAGAGAGAAAUAAAUGGAGUAAAGAUAGGAAAUGAGGAAGUUAAAUUAUCAUUACUUGCAGAUGACAUGAUACUCUACAUAAAAGAUCCCCAAAACUCCAUUGAAAGUGUCCAUUGAUAUAAUAAAUAAAUUCAGCAAUGUAGCUGGAUACAAAGUCAAUACUCAAAAAUCCAUAGCAUUCCUAUACACGAACAUCAAAAUCACUGAGAGAGAAAUAAGAGCUACAUCUUUCACAUUAGCAUCCAAAAAAAUGAAAUUAGAAAUUAAUCUCAUGAAAGACGUAAAAGAUCUAUAUAGGGAAAAUUAUAGUGCCCUGAAAAAAGAAAUUGAAGAGGAUCUCUGAAAAUGGAAAGACAUCCCUUGUUCAUGGAUAGGAAGAAUAAAUAUUGUGAAAAUGGACAUUCUCCCAAAAUUGUUAUAUAGAUUCAAUGCAAUCCAAAUGAAAAUACCAUCAUCAUAUCUCAUAGAUCUACAGAAAUUACUCCUACAAUUCAUCUGGAACCAGAAGAGACAUAGAAUAGCAAAGACAAUUCUAAUCAGCAAAGGCCAGGCAGGAGGCAUCACAAUCCCUGACUGGAAGUUAUACUACAAAGCAAAUGUAAGAGCAUCAACAUGGUAUUGGAAUAAAAACAGAUCUGAAGAUCAAUGGAAUAGAUUAGAAGAUAUAGCCACAACUACAAACACACUCAACCACUUUAUCUUUGAUAAAGGGGCCAAACACGUUCAUGGAAGAAUGACAGUCUCUUUAAUAAAUGGAAAUAAAUAGAAAAACUGGCUCUCCAUAUGCCAAAAACUAAAACUAGACCCAUGCCUAUCACCAUGUACUAAAACAAAAUCUAAAUGGAUCCAAGAUACAAAUAUUAAAACAGAAAUACUAAAUCUGUUGGAAGACAAAUUGGGUAAAAAUCUUGAAGACAUAGGGGUAGGUAGAGAAUACAUGAACAGGAAUCAAAUUGCAUGGGAAAUACUUCCCAGAAUCAAUAACUGGGAUCAUGUCUUAUUAAAAACGUUCUGCACGUCAAAAGAAAUCUCCAGCAUAGUAAAAAGAAAACCCACAAACUGGGAAAAAAAAUCUUAGUGAACUGCCCCUCAGACAAAGGACUUCUGUCUAAAACAUAAAGAAUUUUUAAAAAUCAGACCCCCAAAAUUCAAAGACCUAAUCCAAAAAUGGGCAUCUGAGAUGAAUACACAGUUCUCAAAUGAAGAAAUACAAAUGGCAACGAAAUACAUGAAAAAAUGUUCAUCAUCAUUAGUCAUUAGAGAAAUGCAAAUUAAAACCCUACUGAGGUUCCAUCUCACUCCAGAAAGAAUGGCCAGGAUCAAGAAAACUACCAACAACAAAUGCUGGAGAGGCUGUGGGGGAAAAAGGAUCUCUCCUGCACUUUUGGUGGGAGUGUAGACUGGUGCAGCCAUCGUUGGAGGUCAGUCUGGAGAUUUCUCAAAACGCUGGGAUUGGAGAUUCCAUUUGACCCAGCUAUUUCACUUCUAGGCAUAUUCCCAGAAGAAUUGAAAGCAUCAUACCACAGUGAUACAUGUGCACCUGUGUUUAUAGCAGCACAAUUUGUAAUAGCCAGGUCUUGGAAACAACCUAAGUUUCCAUCAACUGAGGAAUGGAUAAAAAAAACUUUUAGUAUUUUUAUACAAUGGAGUACUACUCAGCUAUAAAGAAUGAUCACAUUGAGAUAUUUAUAAAUAAAUGGGCACAACCUGAGACCAUACUCAUAAGCAAAAUAAAUCAAACUCACAUGUACAAAUAUUGUAGUGUCCCUAGUGUAAGAAAUGGUAAGAGUACAUAAGAUUUUAUGGUAAUCAUGAUUCCCCAUUACAUUGCUUUGAAGCCUUAUAAUGUUUCCAUUCAUUAGUUGGAAUGGUUUUAUCCCGGGUUGUUUGAUUUUAAUAUCUGUGAUGGUAUGAGCAGAUAUUCUGAAGAAAACAAGACAUUAUAAUAGCCAGUGCUGAUUUAAUAUCAUCUUGUUUUGAAGUCCUACCAUGCUUUUGUUCUUGUGUUUCCUUUGGUUCUAUCAUGUUGUAUAUUAUUGGCUUUUAUUAUGUGUGAUAGUACAAACAAAUCUUUUAUGGACAGUGAAAUAAUAUAGUAACCAUUUUUCAUUUUCUGUUAUUUGGUUCUGAAUAACUUGUAAUACUUUCACUCUUAAUUGUUUUAUAGUAUUUUGUUAUAUUUGAUUCUAUUGUGUAUGAAGAUAUACUCAACCAUUUUAAAGAAAGAGACAUUAUGGUAGCUACUGAUAUAUCGGGUUGUCUUGUGGUGAAAUACUGUGUUGCUUAAAUUAUUCUGUUCUUAUAUGCUUUAUUAUGUCCUCUUUUAAUCUCUUUAAAAUAAAAAAAAUUUAAAACAAA